rnacentral:tRNA from 2 species
GCCAACGUAGCUUACGCAAAGCAUAACACUGAAGAUGUUAAGACGAGCCCUAGAAAGCUCCGUCAGCA